rnacentral:lncRNA from 1 species
UUUUGUCUCGAGUAAUAGAUUUCUUCGAUUUUGAUUUCUCGAUUGCGAUUGAUUUCAUACUCCAAACUGUGUAAAUUCGAGACAAAUUGGACAAAAAGUUUGACGAAUUGGUGACUUCAUCGACUCUUUUCAAACUUUCAGCCAAAUAAAGCAAUACUCUUAAUUGCCAGAUUUCUCGGCCUGUUGUAUAUAUAAUCACAGUGACUGUGUUUCUACUUCAAGCCUGCGACUGGCAUCUGGAUUUUCAUAGCCAGUUUGUAGUGUACUAUCGAAAGGACUGCAUUCCCUUCUUCGAGCCCAUGACUGGCAUCAGGAUUAUCAUAGUCAGCCUGUAGUGUACAAUCGAGGUGAGUGCCUGCCUUCCUCACUUGCGGCCCAUGACUGGCAUCAGGAAUUUAAUUGUCAGCCUGUAGUGUAUUAUCGAAAGGACUGCAUUUCCUUCUUCGAGCCCAUGACUGGCAUCAGGAUUAUCAUAGUCAGC